AGCAGCCGCGGUAAUUCCAGCUCCAAUAGCGUAUAUUAAAGUUGUUGCAGUUAAAAAGCUCGUAGUUGAAUUUCGGGAUCAAUUUAUUGGUCGUGCUAUUGUACGUACUGGUAUUAUUGAUUCCUACCUUCUGACGAACUAUAAUGCCAUUAAUUUGGUGUUUUAGGGAAUCAGGACUGUUACUUUGAAAAAAU
rnacentral:rRNA from 1 species